CAGCAGAGGGGAAGCACGCAGUUGCCUGGCACAUGGGGGCAAAGGAAAGUUAUGUGAUAGGUGAGGGGAAUCUGAAAUACGAGGAACACUUUUUUUUGUUUUUAAAGGGCCUUUUACCUCUACAAUCCUCAAAUAGAAACACAGACAACAACCCAAUUGUUGACAGAGCUGGGAUGCCAGGAAUAGGGCCCAGGGCUCCAGGAGAGAUGUGGGAUGAUGAGAGGAGGGAGAAGUUAGGGGGCAGAGAGUCACAAGGGCUCCAAGACCAUCUGGACCUAGCAGAAUAGAGUUGUGCUUAUUUUACACAAGUGACUCUGAGCCUUCUCUGCUGGCAUCCUGUCACCUCAUGUACGUGGUAUUUCCUUGUUCCUUAUCCAGACGAGAAAGGAGGAAGGUGGCGGCCUGUGUGUAACUGCUCUCAGCUCGGUGAAAAGCAGAUGUGAGUUUUUACCUCUCCCACAGAGGACAGUGGGCGUGGGAACCCAGCAGGCAGCCUGACAGCCAGGCAGACACCUGCUUCCACAACAAACUGCAGGUCUCUUUCAAGGUAUCGGAAACAAAGCCAUCUAUUUCACUGGUGGGAAAACAGACUGAAAACUAAUAGUUUCACUACAAAUAGGUGCAUCCCGUAAUGGAAUACUAUGCAGCUGUAAACAAGAAUGAAGAAGCUUUCUUUGUACCAAUAGAAAAAGAGUUCUAAGGCUUGACCUUAGGUCUUGGCAGCUCUUCUUAGUUGGAGGACAUCCCUGACGAGGAGGAAGUGAGCCUUUUCCUCCCCCCAGGCAGAGACAGGACCCUCCUCUGCCUUCCUCGCAUUCUUCAGCUGUCUCGGUCAUGCUGGAACUGGCACUACCUACUCUGGCAGGCAAGGGGAGGAGGCAGCCACGGGUUCUGGCACUGUCCCCAAGGUGAGCUGUCUGUGACUGCGGGUAUCACGGAGAAAGCGUUGAAGAGCUGGCAAAACCAACCCCUUGCUUUCUUUGCAGGAUGAUGAAGAUGCUAAUACUGGGGCAGUGGAAAGCAAACUCUGAAGGUUUUGAUUCAAAGACUAUGCUCAGAGGACAAUGCUAUUAAUGAUCCUUGGCCGAGUCCAAGUUUGUUAAUAUUCCGGAUACCUUAGAAUAGUUCAGCAGCACAUAUCUAAUUUGAAGUAAUUUAUUCUGUUAAUAUUUUGGUUUUCUGCUGCCAGGAACUCUGGGCAUAUGGCAUUCCCCUAGGACAUGAAGAAGGAAACCAUUAUGGGUGAUAAUAAGGAACGUGCAUUCAUUGAUAUGUUUAGCAUCUUGACUUGAAGAUGAAAUUCUGAGCCACGACUCCCAGUGGCUCCCCAGCUGUGCACAGGUUAAAGGACAUUUCACUGUGACUGCUGUGUUUAUUCCAGUAACGUGAUGACUCUGAGGGCCACUCUGAGCCUUGGCUUUGUGACGGAGAUAAGAAUCCCCUGGGAUGCUUGCUAAAAAUACAGAUUCCUGGACUCCACCUGAGGCCUGGAAAUCUGCUUCGUGACAACUGCCUCAGAUAAUUCUUAUCUGGCAAGUUUGGGAAACAUUACAUUUUAGAAUCUUGAGAGGAAAGUGAUUUUUACUGAAUCCUCCUGUCUUUAGGCUGACCUCUUCCACCAGGAAUGAUAAACGUCUGUUCCCAGAAAGAAAGGAGCAAGCAUUCUCCACACCUGGGAUGUCGUCAUGUAUUAAACCUCUGACAGAACCUUCAUGGCCUUCAUUUGGCUUUGCUGGUGACUCAUAAUAUUCCACUUUUAGGAUGAAGGAAGUUAAAUACUUGCUAUUCCUUCACAGAAGUUUCUAUUUUAAAUGCAGAGCUCAGAAAUCUGUGGACAGCCAGAUGUAACGUUCAGGGUUGUAAUGGACAGAGGCAUCUCUUAACAGCUACAUAAUUCAAUUACCCUUGCAACUUCACAAUUCGCCACAUCCUGGUUCCCCUAUCAGACACAUACGGGCCUCUAAAGGGGACAGACUAGGUCACAAGAAGAGUAUGUUGAUGUGGCAUCUCCAGUGGGCACAAGGAAAUGCCCCUCCUAUAAAAGAACAUACUUUUGAGCCUGGUGGUGUAGUGGUUAAAUUCACACGCUCCACCUCGGCAGCCUGUAGUUCACAGGUUCAGAUCCC